rnacentral:misc_RNA from 1 species
UAACUUUUAACAGAUAAAUCGUACUGGUACGAACAAGCCAAGAGUAAUUUAAUGAAGAAUGUUAGAGAGGAGAGGAAUUACAACAUUGCCAAAAAUCUUAUCUUGUUUAUUGGAGAUGGAAUGGGAAUAACUACCAUAACUACUGCUAGGAUACUAAGAGGUCAGCUACUUGGACAGAAUGGCGAAGACACAGAAUUAGCUUUCGACAAGUUCGAACAUGUAGCAUUGUCAAAGACCUACAACACAGAUAGCCAGGUAGGAGAUUCUGGAGCUUGCGCCACAGCGUUACUCUGCGGGGUGAAAAGUCGUUUUGAAACAAUUGGUUUAGAUGACAAUGCCAUUUACGAUAAAUGCUUUAGUAGCUUCACUUCUCGUGUCCCUUCUCUAACAGACUGGGCUCAACAAGAAGGUAAAGCUACGGGUGUGGUAACGACAACACGCAUUACACACGCAACACCUGCAGCUGCAUACGGGCACGCAGCGAGCAGAUAUUGGGAGAGCGACGAUAAAAUGCCUGAAGAUGCUAAAAGUGCUUGUAAGGAUCUCGCCAGGCAACUAGUUGAAGAUGAACCUGGACGAAAUAUAAAUGUGAUUUUAGGAGGAGGAAGACGUCACUUCGUCCCGAAAUGGGAACGAGAUCCCAAAAGACCGACCGAGAUGGGAAGGAGAAACGAUGGACGAAAUCUCAUAGAAGAUUGGCAAAGAGAUAAAAAAGCCAGAGAUCUCUCUUAUCAGUAUGUUUGGAGAAAGGAAGACUUCGAUAAUGUCGACUCUAAUAAAGUUGAUUAUUUAUUAGGUCUUUUCGAACACGGUCAUCUUUCUUACGAUUCGGAUAGAGAUACAGGACCAAAUGGUGAGCCAUCAUUGGCAAAUAUGACAAGAAAAGCUAUCGAAAUUUUGAGAAAAAAUCCUCACGGAUAUUUUCUGAUGGUUGAAGGUGGAAGGAUCGAUCAUUCACAUCACUUUAAUAAUGCUCGCAGGGCAUUAACUGAUACUUUAGCAUUUGAAUAUUCUGUUGUCACUGCUCUCGAGAUGACAAAACCAGAGGACACGCUAAUUGUGGUCACUUCAGAUCAUUCGCACGUUUUCACUUUCGGUGGUUAUCCCAAGAGAGGAAAUCCAAUUUUUGGUGUAGAUGAUAAAGUAUCUGACGUUGACGGUAUGCCAUAUACCACCUUGUUAUAUUCGAAUGGACCAGGAUAUAAUAAGAAUCACCCGAAUGGCAGAGAAAAUAUAUCUGGAAUUAAUACGGGAGAUAAAAAUUACAUACAGCAGUCGGCAGUUCCUCGUAGAUGGGACACUCACGGUGGAGAAGACGUACCAGUUUACGCUCACGGACCCAUGUCUCAUCUAUUUCGAGGGGUGUUCGAACAGACGUACAUUCCGCAUGCGAUGGCCUACGCUGCGUGUAUAGGUCCAGAGAAAGAUAAUUGCCAAUUUAGAAUGGAAUCGCAUACAAAACGAAUCGAAGCGUGCAGACCAGCAGAACUAAGAAGCCAAGCUGGAAAAAAGUUUUCUAAUUUAUGGUUAAUGAUAAUGUUAUUGAGCAUCGUCGUUGGUACUUGACAUUGUUCGAGAAACGAAUAAAGUUUCUUGGAUAUUAAUUUAUUGAAGUAAUUUAAACUACAUCUGAAGUUUGAAACAGUUCUCGACAGUUUGAGUGUACAAAAGAAUACGAGCAUGAAGUAAAUUUCAUAGAAUGUGUAUUAUCAAAAGCUAUUUAACUGAAGAAUAAAUUAGUAAAGGCUGUAACACUCGAAAAAUUCGAGAGUUAAAAUGCAUCUGAAGAUUCAUUCCUUUAAGCUUCCAAUCGAUGAUGGGCCAACCUUUUUGUUUUUUAAUUGUAAAAAUACAUGAAGAUAAGAGCUGUCUAACGUCCGUAAAUUUUUUUGUGUGUAUCUGGAAAUUAGAAAAUGUAAAAAAAUUAAGUAUAAAAUAAAGAAA